UUGAAACGCUCAGAAAAAACGGACAAGAAAGUGAAGGUAGUAUGGUGGUGAUUUACAAUAAAAUCCCCAAACCCACAAAUAAAUUAAACCAGAUUUUCGCAUAGUCCAGUGAAGUUGAGCCACAGUAAAAACUUAAGCAGCUCGAAAAGGAAAACUUAAAAAUGAAAACCAAGAUCUUCGAAACUAGAUUCCAGACAUUUUGGAAAAUCUGAAAAAAAAUUGUAACAAAAGCCACAUUUAUCAACGAUGAAGCCAAAACAGUGUCACCAUCAAGUGUUUCUGACAGUUUCUGACUCUGACAAAGAAGCACCAAAACAGGUGGAAAUAUUCCCAGGCACAGGAGUUUAUAGCGACAAUGUCCUGGAUCCUUGCAGAGAGGUGCAGCACGAAUACAUCAUAUGUAAGAACCCUGACGAUUGCUGCCUUUGACAUUCUAACAUUACUAAAGAGGAAUCUUCAUGGUGGUGAAGAGCAAGAGAGAUCCAACUUCGGAGAAAAAGACACCUCUGGAUCGUUUAAAGGUGGAUGCCAUAUAUGGGGCUACCUUGAAAAAGUUUCCCUGUACCCCAAAGUGUAAUUGGCGGUGCAAUUAACGACAAGAUAAAUGAACUACGACACAGUCUGAAACCAGAGUAAAGACUUGAAGGACCAGAAAACGGAUCUGUAUUUUUUGUUCUGUUUUCAACAAGGUUGGGGUCAAUUCCAAUUCCUUUUUCAAUUAAAUUCCAAUAAAGCCUAUUCUGUGAAUGCAAAAAGGAAUUGGAAUUUGGAAUUGAUUUGAAGGAGGAAUUGGAAUUGAAAAACAGGACUUGACCCCAAGCAUGGUUUUCAAUGAGUGUUGUACAAAUUGAUAUGUCAGUGCUUCUGUAAAAACAUUUUUUUCAUUUGUUUGUUUAAGACAAGUAAUGUUUAGCUGUUAUCUUUUGGGGUAUUGUUUCAAAAAUAAGUUGUAAUACUUUUGAAUAGCACAGUAUUUCAAAGUUAUAUUACAGAAACUGCAUAGUACCAUCGUGCUUCCUGUCUGUCCUCUCAACAUUCUUCAGGUAACCCCAAUUUAAAUGUAAAUGGGGGGAUAAGAGUAAAGGUCAGAACUGUCAAAUUGUUUUCUUUUAAAACUGAUUUAUUCUUCAAAAAAAAAAAAGCUUUUUAUCCUUUAAAAAAAGUUUGCCGAGUGAUAUGAGUCAUAUGUA